UACGUAGGGUGCGAGCGUUGUCCGGAAUUAUUGGGCGUAAAGGGCUCGUAGGCGGUCUGUCACGUCGGGAGUGAAAACACGGGGCUUAACCCCGUGCCUGCUUCCGAUACGGGCAGACUAGAGGUAUGCAGGGGAGAACGGAAUUCCUGGUGUAGCGGUGAAAUGCGCAGAUAUCAGGAGGAACACCGGUGGCGAAGGCGGUUCUCUGGGCAUUACCUGACGCUGAGGAGCGAAAGUGUGGGGAGCAAACAGG
rnacentral:rRNA from 1 species